rnacentral:rRNA from 1 species
ACACGUAGGGGGCGAGCGUUGUUCGGAAUCAUUGGGCGUAAAGGGCGCGCAGGCGGCCGCGUAAGUCUGGUGUAAAAUGGUUGUGCUCAACACAAUCAUGCGCUGGAAACUGCGGGGCUUGAGUCAACGAGGGGCUGCCGGAAUUCCAGGUGUAGGGGUGAAAUCUGUAGAUAUCUGGAAGAACACCAGUGGCGAAGGCAGGCAUCUAGCGACUGACUGACGCUGAGGCGCGAAGGUGCGGGGAGCAAACAGGUUUAGAUGCCCUGGUAGUCCGCACCGUAAACGAUGUGCACCAGGUGGCGGGCAGCAGUGCUCGGUACCGAAGCAAACGCAUUAAGUGCACCGCCUGGGGAGUAUGCCCGCAAGGGUGAAACUCAAAUGAAUUGACGGGG